rnacentral:rRNA from 1 species
GAUGAACGCUGGCGGCGUGCCUAAUACAUGCAAGUCGAGCGAACAGACGAGGAGCUUGCUCCUCUGACGUUAGCGGCGGACGGGGGAGUAACACGUGGAUAACCUACCUAUAAGACUGGGAUAACUUCGGGAAACCGGAGCUAAUACCGGAUAAUAUAUUGAACCGCAUGGUUCAAUAGUGAAAGACGGUUUUGCUGUCACUUAUAGAUGGAUCCGCGCCGCAUUAGCUAGUUGGUAAGGUAACGGCUUACCAAGGCAACGAUGCGUAGCCGACCUGAGAGGGUGAUCCGCCACACUGGAACUGAGACACGCUCCAGACUCCUACGCGAGGCAGCAGUCCGGUCUAGUGCGCAAUGGUCGCACGGCGGACGGCGGAAUCUCGCGCGAGGUCUGAAGGUCCUCUGAUCGUAAAACUCUGCUGCUAGUGACGAACAAAUCUCUACGUAACCAUGCACGUGUUGACGAUACCUACUCAGAAAUCCACGGCUAUCUACGAG